rnacentral:rRNA from 1 species
UAGGGAAUCUUCCACAAUGGACGAAAGUCUGAUGGAGCAACGCCGCGUGAGUGAAGAAGGUUUUCGGAUCGUAAAGCUCUGUUGUUGGUGAAGAAGGAUAGAGGCAGUAACUGGUCUUUAUUUGACGGUAAUCAACCAGAAGCCACGGCUAACUACGUACCAG